CUGAACCUUGACUUGGAGCUGGCCAGGACAGAGCUGCAAAAGGUCAGAGACGGCGCCGCUGAAAAACUGAGAGAAGCUCUAGCGAAGAAGGAUCAGGAUUUGGCUGCUGCUCGUAAGGAGGCUGACGACAGGACCGCUCUGGCCGAACAGAAGCUGGCUUCGGUCGGCCAGUUGGAAGAAGAGAAUACCAGGCUGAAGACCGCUCUGAAUGACUCCAACAAGGAGUGCUCGCGCUGGAAGAAGGCGAAUCUCGUCCAGGGCGAGAAAUGGAAGGCGUUGCUCGCAGGAGGGAUGAUCUGGAGAGCUGUCUGAGAAGUCUUGCCAAGAAGUUGUUCAUCAAGCUUGAAGAGUUUUGCCAGAACUUUGAAGAGGAGACUGGGCGGAUCGAACCAGGUUUGGAUCCAAUCAACUCUCCCGUGAAAGAUGAAACUGCCAUGAAUCUGCUCCG